AUUGAACGCUGGCGGCAGGCCUAACACAUGCAAGUCGAGCGGAUGAAGGGAGCUUGCUCCUGGAUUCAGCGGCGGACGGGUGAGUAAUGCCUAGGAAUCUGCCUGGUAGUGGGGGAUAACGUCCGGAAACGGGCGCUAAUACCGCAUACGUCCUGAGGGAGAAAGUGGGGGAUCUUCGGACCUCACGCUAUCAGAUGAGCCUAGGUCGGAUUAGCUAGUUGGUGGGGUAAAGGCCUACCAAGGCGACGAUCCGUAACUGGUCUGAGAGGAUGAUCAGUCACACUGGAACUGGGACACGGUCCAGACUCCUACGGGAGGCAGCAGUGGGGAAUAUUGGACAAUGGGCGAAAGCCUGAUCCAGCCAUGCCGCGUGUGUGAAGAAGGUCUUCGGAUUGUAAAGCACUUUAAGUUGGGAGGAAGGGCAGUAAGUUAAUACCUUGCUGCUUUGACGUUACCAACAGAAUAAGCACCGGCUAACUUCGUG
rnacentral:rRNA from 1 species